CUGUGCCAGCAGCCGCGGUAAUACAGAGGGUGCAAGCGUUAAUCGGAAUUACUGGGCGUAAAGCGAGCGUAGGUGGCUUGAUAAGUCAGAUGUGAAAUCCCCGGGCUUAACCUGGGAACUGCAUCUGAAACUGUUAGGCUAGAGUAGGUGAGAGGGAAGUAGAAUUUCAGGUGUAGCGGUGAAAUGCGUAGAGAUCUGAAGGAAUACCGAUGGCGAAGGCAGCUUCCUGGCAUCAUACUGACACUGAGGCUCGAAAGCGUGGGUAGCAAACAGGAUUAGAUACCCUGGUAGUCCACGCCGUAAACGAUGUCUACUAGUCGUUGGGUCCCUUGAGGACUUAGUGACGCAGCUAACGCAAUAAGUAGACCGCCUGGGGAGUACGGCCGCAAGGUUAAAACUCAAAUGAAUUGACGGGGGCCCGCACAAGCGGUGGAGCAUGUGGUUUAAUUCGAUGCAACGCGAAGAACCUUACCUGGUCUUGACAUAUCUAGAAUCCUGCAGAGAUGCGGGAGUGCCUUCGGGAAUUAGAAUACAGGUGCUGCAUGGCUGUCGUCAGCUCGUGUCGUGAGAUGUUGGGUUAAGUCCCGCAACGAGCGCAACCCUUGUCCUUAGUUACCAGCGGGUUAAGCCGGGAACUCUAAGGAUACUGCCAGUGACAAACUGGAGGAAGGCGGGGACGACGUCAAGUCAUCAUGGCCCUUACGACCAGGGCUACACACGUGCUACAAUGGUAGGUACAGAGGGCAGCUACACAGCGAUGUGAUGCGAAUCUCAAAAAGCCUAUCGUAGUCC
rnacentral:rRNA from 1 species